UAACGAAUAUUGCACAAUGGGGGAAACCCUGAUGCAGCAACGCCGCGUGAAGGAAGAAGGUCUUCGGAUUGUAAACUUUUGUCUUGCGGGACGAAUAAUGACGGUACCGCAGGAGGAAGCCACGGCUAACUACGUGCCAGCAGCCGCGGUAAUACGUAGGUGGCGAGCGUUGUCCGGAAUUACUGGGUGUAAAGGGUGCGUAGGCGGAUUUGCAAGUCAGGUGUGAAAACUAUCGGCUUAACCGGUAGCCUGCACUUGAAACUGUAAGUCUUGAGUGGUGGAGAGGUAAGCGGAAUUCCUAGUGUAGCGGUGAAAUGCGUAGAUAUUAGGAGGAACACCAGUGGCGAAGGCGGCUUACUGGGCACUAACUGACGCUGAGGCACGAAAGCAUGGGGAGCAAACA
rnacentral:rRNA from 1 species